GGGGCAGUAGCUCAGCAGGUCAGAGCAGCAGACUCAUAAUCUGAAAGGUCGCGGGUUCGAGCCCCGCCUGCCCCACCA
rnacentral:tRNA from 1 species